rnacentral:rRNA from 1 species
UACGGGGGGGGUAAGCGUUGUUCGGAAUUACUGGGCGUAAAGGGCUCGUAGGCGGCCAACUAAGUCAGACGUGAAAUCCCUCAGCUUAACUGGGGAACUGCGUCUGAUACUGGAUGGCUUGAGUUCGGGAGAGGGAUGCGGAAUUCCAGGUGUAGCGGUAGAAAUGCGUAGAUAUCUGGAGGAACACCGGUGGCGAAGGCGGCAUCCUGGACCGACACUGACACUGAGGAGCGAAAGCCAGGGGAGCAAACGGG